AGAGUUUGAUCAUGGCUCAGGACGAACGCUGGCGGCGUGCUUAACACAUGCAAGUCGAGCGGUGAACCGGAGCUUGCUCCGGGGAUCAGCGGCGAACGGGUGAGUAACACGUGGCAACCUGCCCUCAGCUCUGGGAUAACUCCGGGAAACCGGGGCUAAUACCGGAUACGACUUCCUGCGGCAUCACGGGAAGUGGAAAGUUUUUCGGCUGAGGAUGGGCCCGCGGCCUAUCAGCUUGUUGGUGGGGUAAUGGCCCACCAAGGCGACGACGGGUAGCCGGCCUGAGAGGGCGACCGGCCACACUGGGACUGAGACACGGCCCAGACUCCUACGGGAGGCAGCAGUGGGGAAUAUUGCGCAAUGGGCGAAAGCCUGACGCAGCGACGCCGCGUGAGGGAUGAAGGCCUUCGGGUUGUAAACCUCUUUCAGCAGGGACGAAGCGAAAGUGACGGUACCUGCAGAAGAAGCACCGGCCAACUACGUGCCAGCAGCCGCGGUAAUACGUAGGGUGCAAGCGUUGUCCGGAAUUAUUGGGCGUAAAGAGCUCGUAGGCGGUUUGUCACGUCGGCCGUGAAAUCUCGGGGCUCAACCCCGAGCCUGCGGUCGAUACGGGCAGACUAGAGUGCUGUAGGGGAGACUGGAAUUCCUGGUGUAGCGGUGAAAUGCGCAGAUAUCAGGAGGAACACCGGUGGCGAAGGCGGGUCUCUGGGCAGUAACUGACGCUGAGGAGCGAAAGCGUGGGGAGCGAACAGGAUUAGAUACCCUAGUAGUCC
rnacentral:rRNA from 1 species